AUUUGUAUAGCUUAUAAAGAGUAUGGCGUUGAAGGUGCCAGGGAAGUAUUAUUAUUUACAAAUA
rnacentral:tRNA from 1 species